GCUCAGAACGAACGCUGGCGGCGUGCCUAAUACAUGCAAGUAGAACGCUGAAGACUUUAGCUUGCUAGAGUUGGAAGAGUUGCGAACGGGUGAGUAACGCGUAGGUAACCUGCCUAUUAGUGGGGGAUAACUAUUGGAAACGAUAGCUAAUACCGCAUAAUAGUGUUUAACACAUGUUAGAGACUUAAAAGAUGCAAUUGCAUCACUAGUAGAUGGACCUGCGUUGUAUUAGCUAGUUGGUGGGGUAACGGCCUACCAAGGCGACGAUACAUAGCCGACCUGAGAGGGUGAUCGGCCACACUGGGACUGAGACACGGCCCAGACUCCUACGGGAGGCAGCAGU
rnacentral:rRNA from 1 species